rnacentral:rRNA from 1 species
UACGUAGGGUGCGAGCGUUAAUCGGAAUUACUGGGCGUAAAGCGUGCGCAGGCGGCGCGUUAAGACAGAUGUGAAAUCCCCGGGCUUAACCUGGGAACUGCGUUUGUUACUGGCAAGCUAGAGUGUGUCAGAGGGAGGUAGAAUUCCACGUGUAGCAGUGAAAUGCGUAGAUAUGUGGAGGAAUACCGAUGGCGAAGGCAGCCUCCUGGGAUAACACUGACGCUCAUGCACGAAAGCGUGGGGAGCAAACAGG